CCUCCUUUCUGGAGAUGCCGAGUAGGAUCAAUAUUUUGAUGUAUGGUCCGAAAGGUUCUCACAGGUCUACCCGCUCAAAUAACUCGAAACCUCAGUGUUCAUAUAAAAAAAGUCUGAGGGAAUGUUUUACGUCUUCUCAGACCAUGCUGUUUGACAACAGAGGUUGAGUGAAGUAAGAGCCUUAGGUGCGCCCUGGAUCCUUUGUCCGGUCCAGGAGCCGUAUCUACGUAAUUGUGGUGGCUUUUUGGUGUGACUGACAGAUAGUGAUGUCGGUCAAGCAAGUAAGUGCACAGUGGUGGAUGCCUAGGCACGAGCCGGCGAUGAAGGACGUGGCAAGCUGCGAUAAGCCUCGGGGAGCUGCAAGCAAGCAUAGAUCCGAGGAUUUCCGAAUGGGA
rnacentral:misc_RNA from 1 species